rnacentral:rRNA from 1 species
CCUACGGGAGGCUGCAGUGAGGAAUAUUGGUCAAUGGGCGCGAGCCUGAACCAGCCAAGUAGCGUGAAGGAUGACUGCCCUACGGGUUGUAAACUUCUUUUAUAAAGGAGUAAAGUGAGGCACGUGUGCCUUUUUGUAUGUACUUUAUGAAUAAGGAUCGGUUAACUCCGUGCCAGCAGCCGCGGUAAUACGGAGGAUCCGACCGUUAUCCGGAUUUAUUGGGUUUAAAGGUAGCGUAGAUGGGUUGGUAAUUCAGGUGGGAAAGUUUGGGGGUCAAACGGAAAAUUGCAAUUGAUACUGGCAGUCUUGAGUACAGGUGAGGUAGGCGGAAUUCGUGGUGUAGCGGUGAAAUGCUUAGAUAUCACUAAGAACUCCGAUUGCGAAGGCAGCUUACUAAACUGCCACUGACAUUGAUGCUCGAAAGUGUGGGUAUCAAACAGGAUUAGAUACCCUUGUAGUC